CUGGCGGCAUGCCUACACAUGCAAGUCGAACGGUAGCAGGCCCUUCGGGGUGCUGACGAGUGGCGGACGGGUGAGUAAUGCGUAGGGAUCUGCCUUGUUGAGUGGGAUAGCCUAGGGAAACUUAGGGUAAUACCGCGUAAGCCUGAAAGGGGAAAGCCGGGGACUGUUAAAGGCCUGGCGCGACAAGAUGAACCUACGUCGGAUUAGCUUGUUGGUGAGGUAAAGGCUCACCAAGGCGAUGAUCCGUAGCUGGUCUGAGAGGACGACCAGCCACACUGGGACUGAGACACGGCCCAGACUCCUACGGGAGGCAGCAGUGGGGAAUAUUGGACAAUGGGCGCAAGCCUGAUCCAGCAAUGCCGCGUGUGUGAAGAAGGCCUGCGGGUUGUAAAGCACUUUCGGUGGGGAGAAAGAGGCUGUUGCUAAUAUCAACAGCGGAUGAUGCUACCCACAGAAGAAGCACCGGCUAACUCUGUGCCAGCAGCCGCGGUAAUACAGAGGGUGCGAGCGUUAAUCGGAAUUACUGGGCGUAAAGGGUGCGUAGGUGGUUACGUAAGUUAGGUGUGAAAUUCCUGGGCUCAACCUGGGGACUGCGCCUAAUACUGCGAGACUAGAGUACUGUNAGAGGAAGGUGGAAUUUCCAGUGUAGCGGUGAAAUGCGUAGAUAUUGGAAGGAACAUCGGUGGCGAAGGCGACCUUCUGGACAGAUACUGACACCGAGGCACGAAAGCAUGGGGAGCAAACAGGAUAGAUACCCUGGUAGUCAUGCCGUAACGAUGAAGACUGGCUGUUGNAACCUUAG
rnacentral:rRNA from 1 species